UCCGAAGGGGGCUAUCGUUGCUCGGAAUCACUGGGCGUAAAGGGUGCGUAGGCGGGUCUUUAAGUCAGGGGUGAAAUCCUGGAGCUCAACUCCAGAACUGCCUUUGAUACUGAAGAUCUUGAGUUCGGGAGAGGUGAGUGGAACUGCGAGUGUAGAGGUGAAAUUCGUAGAUAUUCGCAAGAACACCAGUGGCGAAGGCGGCUCACUGGCCCGAUACUGACGCUGAGGCACGAAAGCGUGGGGAGAAAACAGG
rnacentral:rRNA from 1 species